rnacentral:rRNA from 1 species
GUCGGGACCUAAGGAGAGACCGAAAGGUGUAUCCGAUGGACAACAGGUUGAUAUUCCUGUACUAGAGUAUGUAGUGAUGGAGGGACGCAGUAGGCUAACUAAAGCAGACGAUUGGAAGAGUCUGUCUAAGCAGUGAGGUGUGAACUGAGUUAAAUGCUUAGUUCUGUAACAUUGAGCUGUGAUGGGGAGCGAAGUUUAGUAGCGAAGUUAGUGACGUCACACUGCCAAGAAAC